GACGAACGCUGGCGGCGUGCUUAACACAUGCAAGUCGAACGAAGUGGCGAACGGGUGAGUAACGCGUAAUCAACCUGCCCUUCAGAGGGGGAUAACACUUGGAAACAGGUGCUAAUACCGCAUACUGAUGGAUGGACCCGCGGUGCAUUAGCUAGUUGGUGAGGUAACGGCUCACCAAGGCCACGAUGCAUAGCCGACCUGGGAGGGGGAUCGGCAACACUGGGACUGAGACACGGCCCAGACUCCUACGGGAGGCAGAAGUAGGGAAUCUUCGGCAAUGGACGAAAGUCUGACCGAGCAACGCAGCGUGAGUGAUGACGGCCUUCGGGUUGUAAAGCUCUGUUAAGCGGGACGCGGUACCGGAAUAGAAAGCCACGGCUAACUACGUGCCAGCAGCCGCGGUAAUAC
rnacentral:rRNA from 1 species